rnacentral:rRNA from 1 species
GAUGAACGCUGGCGGCGUGCCUAAUACAUGCAAGUCGAGCGAACAGACGAGGAUCUUGCUCCUCUGACGUUAGCGGCGGACGGGUGAGUAACACGUGGAUAACCUACCUAUAAGACUGGGAUAACUUCGGGAAACCGGCUCUAAUACCGGAUAAUAUAUUGAACCGCAUGGUUCAAUAGUGAAAGACGGUUUUGCUGGCGCUUGUGGAGGGAUCCGCGCCGCAUCAGCUAGUUGGUGGGGUAGUGGCUUACCAAGGCAAUGACGCGUAGCCGGCCUGAGAGGGGAACCGGCCACAUUGGGACUGAGAUACGGCCCAGACUCCUACGGGAGGCAGCAGUGGGGAAUAUUGCACAAUGGGCGGAAGCCUGAUGCAGCAACGCCGCGUGCGGGAUGACGGCCUUCGGGUUGUAAACCGCUUUCGCCUGUGACGAAGCGUGAGUGACGGUAAUGGGUAAAGAAGCACCGGCUAACUACGUG